AGCGAACGCUGGCGGCAGGCUUAACACAUGCAAGUCGAACGCCCCGCAAAGGGAGUGGCAGACGGGUGAGUAACACGUGGGAACGUACCCUUUGGUUCGGAAUAACUUGGGGAAACCCAAGCUAAUACCGGAUAAGCCCUUAUGGGGAAAGGCUUACUGCCGAAGGAUCGGCCCGCGUCUGAUUAGCUAGUUGGUGAGGUAAUGGCUCACCAAGGCGACGAUCAGUAGCUGGUCUGAGAGGAUGAUCAGCCACACUGGGACUGAGACACGGCCCAGCCUCCUACGGGAGGCAGCAGUGGGGAAUAUUGGACAAUGGGGGCAACCCUGAUCCAGCCAUGCCGCGUGAGUGAUGAAGGCCUUAGGGUUGUAAAGCUCUUUUACCCGGGACGAUAAUGACUGUACCGGGAGAAUAAGCCCCGGCUAACUUCGUGCCAGCAGCCGCCGUAA
rnacentral:rRNA from 1 species